UACAGUAAUAUAAUAAUAUAAAUUUAAUGUUGAAUUAAUAAUUGAAUAAAAUACAGUUUUAUUAAAAUUUAAAAAAUGUUACCCUUUUUGAACAGUAACGCAUAUAUAUCUUCAUAAUAAUUCUGAUUCAGUACUUUCAGUACAUAGAGCUCAUCGAAGAUUAAAGACAACCCCGGAAAAUCUAAAAUAUCCUAUAUAAUUCACUUAUGUUAUCAUACAUGUAAGUGCAAAAAGACGAGACCUACGCUCUGACCACGGUAACAGAGAUGUUCGCUAAAUUUCCUUAUCGAUCGUCCACCGGUCGGUGACCCCUGUAGCAAAAGCGAAUCAUCGACUCUGGGGACGUUAUAAGCAACUAUGAAUUCGCGUUGGCGUUUUCAUAGGUUAUACUAGCAUAAAAGAAAAAUUGUCGUUACAAUCUAUCAUUGAUCCUAUUCUCUUCUCCUCUUCCGACGUGAAAAAGAAAAAAAAAAUAACAGGAAAAAAAAGCGGAAUAAAAAAAAAACCUUUCGUCCAUUUCGCGAACUUCGUUAAAUGGUCCACGAUAAAUGUUUACUAUACACAGCGAUUCUGGAUCGUGUUUCGUUUCAAACUCCAUAGGUUCGUUUCUAAAUAGACGUUCGUCCCUUUUCUCUCUUUCUUUUCUUUUUUCGUUUGCUGUUUUCCGUAUUUUUCCCUUCUUCUUUUUUUUAUUUAUUUUUGUUUUUAUUUCUUUCUCUUUCUUUACCCAUGUUACCCGUAAAUUUCUGUCGGUAUUUUCGGGAGGCGUGCACGAGAGGACCGCGCAUGCGCAUUCACGAUCGAAACAAUGCCUCUAUUUCCAUCGUGUUUCUGGCGCAACCGGCUUUUCGUAAAUUCGAACCAUUAAAUAUGGACGGACACGUCUACGUUUAUGGGGAUACGCGGUUUGGAUCGAUCGUACUAUCGAGAAUCGAAUCUACAGCAGGAGGCCUGUUUGUCAAUCGGAACUGUCUUCUCGUGUCUCGCUUCGCAUUCGAUCAAUGACACCAAAGUUUAUGCGUGCGUCGGUAACUACGUUUUGUAAGCUGUUUGAAAUUCUAGUAAUUUCUCCUUUUGUAGUUAUUCUCUACGGAAAUCUUAGCAGAACAUGACCGUGGUAAUACGAGUGUCGCGCGAAGCCAGACGGGUUGCAGAAGGCAGGCGUUCCUCUCUGGCUUGUACCGAUGAAUACAGGCUAGACAGAGAAAUAUAGAGGGAGAAGGUCGAGCUGGGGUGUGUAUCGGAGAGAGAAUCACGGACUCUCUGCUAGAAAGAGUAGGGGACGAUGGUCGGAGGAAGAGGGAGAGAGGGAGGGGAGUACGGUCGAGCAAACGCGGUACGAUCGAUCGGUACUCCAGCAACCAGCGGGGGGUUCCCCGUAUAUAGACGAGUUCUUCUGCUCCCUGCACCACCACACCCACGCUUUCUGCCUUCUUUCAUCCUCCGCAUCGCUCAUUCUCUAUCUCUCUCCAUCUCUCUAACACUCGGUCUGCGUCAUUCACAGUCGCUCGGUUUCUUCGUAGCUCUUCGCUCGUAUUACUUUUUUCCUUACGACGAUUCUUUCGUUUCAUCUCUGUCUCAUUCGUUGCUCCUCCUCUGUGACGAACGACGGACAUAAGCAGAAGCAGCUGUUCCAACAGUCGCUUUUCUUUUCUCUUUCGACGUCUACUGCCAAACCUUCUGGACAUCAUCCCCGCUCCCCCCAACUUUCGUCUGUGUCCGUUCCCAUUUUCUCGGUUCGCCGGAGAAACCUCGUCUUACACUCUCUUCCCCCUCUCGUUUUUCGUUACAUGUGCGCGUUUGUGUGUGUGCGUGCGUGCGUGCGUGCGUGCGCGCUACCGAGGAAUCGUAACGAAGUCGUAAUGAAAGACCCUUACGGUCUCGCGUGUCAUAAAGUGUGUAGAGGGUUUUGGAGAGGGGAAAAAAUGUUCGCGGCGGAAAGUUGAAACGUUGCCCGUCUAAUUUCCUAUUCGUUAGAGGGGAGAAGUUGGAUGGAUUCUGUUCCUCUCG
rnacentral:lncRNA from 1 species